UGUGCUUGCAGCCCAGAGAGCCAACUGUGUCCUGGGCUGCAUCAAAAGCAGUGUGGUCAGCAGGUCAAGAGAGGUGAUUGUGCCCCUCUACUCCGCUCUGGUGAGACCCUACCUGUAGUCCUGCGCCCAUCUCUGGGGUCCUCAGCACAGGAAGGACGCUGACCUGUUGGAGGGAGUCCAGAGGAGGCCACCAAGGUGAUCAGAGAGAUGGAGCACCUCUCCUGUGAGAAAAGGGUAAGAGAAUUGAAAUUGUCCAACCUGGAAAUAAUUGUGGCCUUCCAGUACCGGAAAGGAAUUCACAGGAAAAAUGGCGCAAGACUAUUUACAAGGGCAUGUAGAUACAGGACAAGGGGGAAUGGGUUCAAAUUGAAAGAGUGGGUUUAGCUUAGAUAUUAGGAGAAAAAUCUUUACUAUGAGAGUGGCGAGGCACUGGAACAGGUUGCCCAGGGAAGCUGCGGAUGCCCCACCU